rnacentral:piRNA from 1 species
UGUCUGCGAAGUACGUGAUAGCGCUGC